AGAGUUUGAUCCUGGCUCAGAACGUACGCUGGCGGCACGCCUAACACAUGCAAGUCGAACGAAGUAGCAAUACUUAGUGGCAGACGGGUGAGUAACAUGUAGGUAUCUGCCCUUUGGCCUGGAAUAACACGAGGAAACUUGUGCUAAUACCGGAUAAGUCUUUACGGAGAAAGCUUUAUGCACCAUUGGAUGAGCCUGCACUUGAUUAGUUUGUUGGUGGGGUAAUGGCCUACCAAGACUGUGAUCAAUAGCUGAUUUGAGAGGAUGAUCAGCCACAUUGGGACUGAGACACGGCCCAAACUCCUACGGGAGGCAGCAGUGGGGAAUCUUGCACAAUGGAGGAAACUCUGAUGCAGCGAUGCCGCGUGAGUGAAGAAGGCCCUUGGGUUGUAAAGCUCUUUCGUCGGGGAAGAAAAUGACUGUACCCGAAUAAGAAGGUCCGGCUAACUUCGUGCCAGCAGCCGCGGUAAUACGAAGGGACCUAGCGUAGUUCGGAAUUACUGGGCUUAAAGAGUUCGUAGGUGGUUGAAAAAGUUAGUGGUGAAAUCCCAGAGCUUAACUCUGGAACUGCCAUUAAAACUUUUCAGCUAGAGUAUGAUAGAGGAAAGCAGAAUUUCUAGUGUAGAGGUGAAAUUCGUAGAUAUUAGAAAGAAUACCAAUUGCGAAGGCAGCUUUCUGGAUCAUUACUGACACUGAGGAACGAAAGCAUGGGUAGCGAAGAGGAUUAGAUACCCUCGUAGUCCAUGCCGUAAACGAUGUGUGUUAGACGUUGGAAAUUUAUUUUCAGUGUCGCAGGGAAACCGAUAAACACACCGCCUGGGGAGUACGACCGCAAGGUUAAAACUCAAAUGAAUUGACGGGGACCCGCACAAGUAGUGGAGCAUGUGGUUUAAUUCGAAGAUACGCGCAGAACCUUACCAACACUUGACAUGUUCGUCGCGACUCUAAGAGAUUAGAGUUUUCGGUUCGGCCGGACGAAACACAGGUGCUGCAUGGCUGUCGUCAGCUCGUGUCGUGAGAUGUUGGGUUAAGUCCCGCAACGAGCGCAACCCUCACUUUUAGUUGCCAUCAUUUAGUUGGGCACUCUGAAAGAACUGCCAGUGAUAAGCUGGAGGAAGGUGGGGAUGACGUCAAGUCCUCAUGGCCCUUACGUGUUGGGCUACACACGUGCUACAAUGGUAUCUACAACAGGAAGCAAGACUGCGAAGUUAAGCAAAUCCCUAAAAGAUACCUCAGUUCGGAUUGCACUCUGCAACUCGAGUGCAUGAAGCUGGAAUUACUAGUAAUCGUGGAUCAGCGUGCCACGGUGAAUGCGUUCCCGGGUCUUGUACACACCGCCCGUCACACCAUGGGAGUUGGUUCUACCUUAAGGCAAGGUUUCAAACCCUUGACCACGGUAUAGUCAGCGACUGGGGUGAAGUCGUAACAAGGUAACC
rnacentral:rRNA from 1 species